AUGGCGACGUCGCAAAGCUCAUGGCUCCUCAGGCAUCCUUGUCCAGUAUCGAUGCCAUGGACAUGGAAUAAUAUAGGUCUCAAAGUGACCAACAUCACCUACUGGAGAUGCAGUAGGGCGAAUAAUGGAGGAAGAAUCAUGGCGGAUAUGAGUAUAAGCACCGCCAACUGCUUGGCACAACCUGCGCAACUCCAAGGUGAAACUCCAACUGGCCGGGGCUCCGCCGUUGCGGCUAGGCACGAAGAGGAGGGCACUGACGACGAAUGGCUCAUGUACCUGGAGCCGGCGAAGCUAGAGCCGUUCGAUCAUCUGGAGCCUUGGGCGGAGGCGAAUGUGGUGCCGCUCCUUAAGCCCGCGCAGGUGGCGUGGCAGCCGACGGACUUGCUGCCGGACCUAGCGUCGCUGGGCGCCGACGGCUUCCACGCGGCGUGCUCCGACAUCGCAGCGCGCGCGGCCGAUCUGCCCGACGCGCACCUCGUGUGCCUCGUCGGGAACAUGGUGACGGAGGAGGCACUGCCGACGUACCAGAGUAUACCCAACCGCUUCGAGGCCGUGCGCGACCUCACCGGCUCCAGCGCCACUGCCUGGGCGCGCUGGAUCCGCGGCUGGUCCGCCGAGGAGAACCGCCACGGCGAUGUGCUCAACAGAUACCUCUUCCUCUCCGGCCGCGUUGACAUGCGGCAGGUCGAGAGGACGAUCCACAACCUCAUCCACCCGUCGCGCCAAGGAGCACGGCGACGUGGCGCCAUCGCGGCCGACGAGAAGCGGCAUGAGCUGGCCUACACGCGGAUCGUGGGGAAGCUGUUCGAGAUCGACCCGGACGGCGCCGUGCGCGCGCUGGCGUACAUGAUGCGCCGCCGGAUCGUCAUGCCUGCGUCCCUCGUGACCGACGGUCGCGAUGGUGACCUCUUUGGGCACUACGCGGCCGUGGCGCAGCAGGCCGGCAUUUACACCGCCUCGGACUACCGUAGCAUUUUGGAGCACCUGAUAAAGCAGUGGGGGGUGGAAGAGUUGGCGGCGGCCGAACUCUCCUACGACGGGAGGCGUGCGCGGGACUACGUGUGUUCCCUGCCAAAAAAAAUCUACAGGUUGGAGGAGAAGGCCCACACACGUAACAGCAAGAAGGCCCAGCGCAUGACAUCCGUCUCAUUCAGCUGGAUCUUUGAUAGGCCCAUCAACAUCAGCGUGGCCUAA
rnacentral:rRNA from 1 species